AGCGAACGCUGGCGGCAGGCUUAACACAUGCAAGUCGAACGGGCGUAGCAAUACGUCAGUGGCAGACGGGUGAGUAACGCGUGGGAACGUACCUUUUGGUUCGGAACAACCCAGGGAAACUUGGGCUAAUACCGGAUAAGCCCUUACGGGGAAAGAUUUAUCGCCGAAAGAUCGGCCCGCGUCUGAUUAGCUAGUUGGUGAGGUAACGGCUCACCAAGGCGACGAUCAGUAGCUGGUCUGAGAGGGAU
rnacentral:rRNA from 1 species